UUUAGAUAUGGGGAUCUCGUCCCAUUGAGUCCACAAGGGAAAGUUGUUGGUUCGAUGUGCGCUUUGAUUGGAGUGCUUACACUCGCUCUGCCCGUACCGAUUAUUGUAAGUUUA
rfam:Necator americanus N_americanus-1.0_Cont49.154, whole genome shotgun sequence.